rnacentral:pre_miRNA from 1 species
AUAGUACUCCCUCCGUCCGAAAAUACUUGUCGAAGAAAUGCAUAAAAAUGAAUGUAUCUAGAAUUAAAAUACGUCUAGAUACAUCCAUUCCUCUGACAAGUAUUUCCGGACAGAGGGAGUAGAAG